UUUUGCAUGGAGUGAACUACGAAUCUUUACCAAGCUAGCUGUGUUGAGAACCAACAUCAACGAAUGACAGUUCCGUGCAAGACGGUUAUGUGAACCGUAUGGUGAAUGAAAAUUGAAUAUUGGAAUUGUGUAUACGUCUAUAGCUACAAAAUCACCAAUGUCUUGGUGUGCACUGGAUGUUUGACUGCAGUACCAACCUAGAGAGCUUUUGCCGUAGCCUGCGCUAAUGGCUCUGUCCGUGGGAGAUACUGGGAUCGACAUGGUGACUAAUGGUAAUUUUUUGAAUAAUAAUGUUUUAGUUAAAGAUAUGAGUCUGAAAGCACAUCCCUGAAGAUCAUUGGGGGACAGUGACUGGCGCUCCUAUCAUCCAUUGUGAGGAUCAGAAUGUCUCGAACCGCCGUGACUCUACUGUCCGGAGUAUGGCUGUGGCUGGGUUUGUUUCCCGCUUGCGCGACUUGGAAAGUCUGUGACAAUGGCAAGUUGUUUCUGGAGAGAGACCUGCCAUCCUCAGCUGUGUGGGAAUGUCCUGUGAUCGCCUGGCCAGAGUUCAGCACCCAGAAGCUGCCCAGGAUUGAAAUGACAUAUUCUGCCCAGCUGGCCGACCACGUCUGCAUGGACACACCGAUCACCUACAAUCAGACUGUUCCUAACAGCGGGGCUUCCCGGCCAGUGGCAGCAGAGAGUGGAGAGUACCUGUACUGUCCCCCUCAACGCUGGAUCAACAACCUGCAGCAUGGAGCAACCGUGUUUCUGUACCACCCCUGUACACCUGUCUAUCUUCGGAACCGUCUGUCAGUCCUGGCCCGCUCCUGUCUGUCUGACUUCGUCCUAACGCCGCACCCUGACCUUAGCAUUCUCAGACCGGUGGUGCUGGUGUCGUGGGGCCGCGGGCUGCAGCUGUCCCAGGUGACCCCGCCGGAGGUCUGCGAUUGGCUGCAGUCGACAGUCUCAAGCAGGAACCAUGGCAAGGCGAGUCAGAGCAGGAAGUAUAACUUGCUGUUGACCCGUCCUGCCGAUCACAGCCGUGUGGAUCCAGAACAAAAGCGGUCUCUGAAGCAGUGCUGUGAGGAGACCCUCUCCCUGCUCCUGGAUGCGGGUGGGUUGGAGGAGGGCUGUGCAGGAGGGAGGGUUCGCCACAGACGGACUGCAGACCAGAAGCGAGGCGCCUCAAUAAAACCUGAAACUCAGGGCCCUGCCCGAGGCGCACGGGGAGACAAGGAGAGGGCAGUCAAACAGAAUCAGCCUCUCAGCGGAGAAAACAACACUAAUGAAAAAGUACAGCGAGGCAAAUUGGAACCGACAGGCUCUGCGAAACAGAACCAAGCCGACGACAAGAGGCCACGUGGGACAACUGGUGACGCCCUGGGGAGGGAUGUGGAGGACAGCCGACCUGACGGAGGGCGCCAGCACAGUAAACCUCCAACCGAGAGGAGAAAGCCCUCGCCUCAGACCGCACCCGAGCUGCCGGCUGUCGUCCAGGCUGGCAGAGCUGACUGUGAUGGCACGGAGUGCACUGAGGGCGGCGCUGUGCCCGUGGGCGCGGGGACCAGCGGGAGGACAACGGCCACCCGGCGGACAGACGAGGCGGUGUGGGCGGCGGCGGCCGUGGGCUUCCUCCUGGUGCUCCUGGUGCUGUCCGUUCUGCACACGCGUCUCUACCGGCAGUGGCGCACGAUGCCCAGCAUGUACUGGCACGACCCAGGACAGGACUAUGACCUGGUGGCAGAUGUCCGCAAGAGGCUGAAGAUGCCAGGGAGGAGGAAGAGGAGGGUGUCUCAGAGUCGGAGACACGAGUGUGUUCUUCCUCCCAGCUCCAGCACAGACGAGGACGAGUAGAAACGCUAAAUCCUCUCAUCCCUCCCCGUCCAUCAUCCUGGCUUAGUCAUGUUCUAGAGACGAGGAAAAUGGGAACCAUAAAUUCUGCUCUGCAUCAGAGAACUCUGGAGAACGUCAGGCCAUCUGUCCGUGGGCUGAAGUGCACCUGGGUCACGAAAGUCUACAUCAAAAUGACUUACAGUAGAAGCAACAUCAUUUAUGUUUGUGCGAUGGUCAAAAUGUCUGGACCCAAACCCAAUUGUGGUGUUAUGGCAGGACCUGAAACGAGCAAUUAAUGCUCAAAGUUGCUCAGUGUGCCAAAACCCUGCCUAUAUUCCUGUCUAUUUCAAUAAAGAACACGUGCCUGAUAGAAGCAUAUUUCAAUAACUGUUACUAAAGAAAUAUGUAUGAACAUUGCUUAGAUACCUUUUAUUACAUUUUAGAUAUUAGCUGGAAAUCUGAUAACAUUCAGGAGUAAAAAUAACACCUGACUUUGGGUGAAUACAUUAUACAGCACAGUAAUAAAAUAGUUUAUUUUAAGAAUUAUCAAUAAAAUAAAAUGGAGACAUUGCAGGGUCAUAUGUUGAUUGUUGCUUGCACUAUGAAUUGUAAGCACAUAGUUCAACCACAAAACACAGACAUUUGUUCCCUGUGGAACAGAAGGUGUACACCCUUAUAUGAGAACAGAAAUGGAAUGCUGUGCUGGUAAAAGCAUUGUAUGCCAGCAGAAAUACCCUGAGCAGGCUUAAAAAAAAAUCUAAAACACAGAUUUUUUGACAGAGAUAGGGUUAUAUUUCUGAUUAUAUCUGCUUUUGAGUAUUUUGUUAUUUGUACAUGACUUGCCCCCUGAUCUGCAAUUUGAUGUAUUUUGUAAAAAUAUACUUGCCGGCUAUAUUUUGUAUUUUCAGUCAAAAGUAUUUUUCACUUCCUUUACAAUAGUCCUAACAGAAAUGUGUUGCAGUUUUAGAAUAAUACCCAGCAUACAUUUGUCUAAGAUGUGUUGAAGUGUUUAACGCCAUACCAAAUUGCAUUAUGGUAAUUGGUGUUCAUAGAGACACACAGAACUCUGUAAAGUUUACAACACUUAUGUAUGAUAAUAGGACAUUAGGGUUAGGGACUGAAUUUCACAAAUUAUCCCAAAGAAACACAAGCACACCACUGAUGAGGUUGCAAUGGUGUAAAGCUUAAUCCAUCCUACAUCAAUCAGUGUUUGGCGGUCCAAUAGAGACUACUAAACAUUCUUUGGCUCUGUCAAAUAAUAGGUGCCCAACACAAUAUGGGAAUUCAGGGUGGCUUCAGGCUUCCAGGUGGCAUUCAUUAAAAUAUUAAUUAAAGACAUUAAAGAAAUGUGUCUGGGUCUUUCAACUUAAAGUAGGCUAUGUCUGAAGUACCCUAUAGAGAGAAUGUUUUCAUGCUGGAGUUUGUGACGCCAAGUAAGCUAUUACUACAUAAUGAGCUUUGAUUAAAACUUAGAGUUAGGACAUGAAAGCAGCGCUAACAACCUGUGAAACCAUUCACACUUAAGAGGACAA